rnacentral:lncRNA from 1 species
UUGUAACUAGCACACCAAUGAAGGUGGUAACUUCAUAAUAUAUGGCUUACAUUAUACCUUUUGAUAAAAUAUUGUGACUACAAGUCGAUGUUACAAGAUUAAAAUAUGUAUGUGCCUAAAGAGCAAAGUUGCUCUUGUAAGUAAGUAUAUACAUGUAAGUAUUCUCCACAUAUUUUUCUCAUUAACAGUCACAAUUUUAACCUUUUUGCCUUAAUCUAACGUGGAAAUACUUCAUUCCAGGCACUGAAGAUGUUCUGUUCAGAACGAAAACGUUUUGCAAUCCAUGUGGAUGACUUUUAGAAGUUUUAAAUAAACUAUUUUAUACCAAAAUACAAUUUGAAGUUUUUACUUCUGUAUAGGUUUUUUUUUAUUUAGUAAAAAUCCUUUAUAAAAGGUAUAUAUUUAAUUAAAGUCUCUUAAAGGACUACAUCAUAAUCCCAGAACGUUUUCGAUCAAAAAAGAUCAUCAUCAGUGCUGAAACAGGAUAAUAACAUGCUGAGCCACCAAAAUAAAAAUAUGUGGGUAAAAACCCUUUAAAAGUCAAAAAAGAUCAAGGCAGAUUUUGUUUAUAUUUGAUUCAGAGUUGGACCACCAUCUCCAUAUAGCUAUUUCAGCAUCCUUAUGCCUCAUCGUAGGGGGCAUCGUGGGCUUAUGGGGCUUUUCGUUGUUUUCCUUUAAAAGUAUUACAAUUAUGAGAAAUUUACCUUAUUGUGUUUAACUAUCAGUUGAAAUUGUCCUAGAUUUAGCACUAGGCAUGUGGUUAACUGGAGGAGAGCAGCCAGGGACAGAGAUAACAGCCCCCAGGGAGGGGGCAGGGCCCGACUUGGGUUGUAGCGCCAUAGGCGAGAGAAAUGUCAGUGAGUUUCCUCAGUAAUUGAGUUUGAAAUAAGGAGCUGGUGUUGGAGAGCGUUUUGAUUUAAAUAUGUCUCCUGCCAUCCCCGAUAGUACUAUUUUGUCAAGUAGGCCCUGCAGAAGACAAAUUUACACCAAAACAUCCGUAGUUCUCGGUACAAAAA